rnacentral:rRNA from 1 species
GAGAUAGAGCCUUCCCCUUCGGGGGACAAAGUGACAGGUGGUGCAUGGUUGUCGUCAGCUCGUGUCGUGAGAUGUUGGGUUAAGUCCCGCAACGAGCGCAACCCUUAAGCUUAGUUGCCAUCAUUAAGUUGGGCACUCUAAGUUGACUGCCGGUGACAAACCGGAGGAAGGUGGGGAUGACGUCAAAUCAUCAUGCCCCUUAUGAUUUGGGCUACACACGUGCUACAAUGGACAAUACAAAGGGCAGCGAAACCGCGAGGUCAAGCAAAUCCCAUAAAGUUGUUCUCAGUUCGGAUUGUAGUCUGCAACUCGACUACAUGAAGCUGGAAUCGCUAGUAAUCGUAGAUCAGCAUGCUACGGUGAAUACGUUCCCGGGUCUUGUACACACCGCCCGUCACACCACGAGAGUUUGUAACACCCGAAGCCGGUGGAGUAACCUUUUAGGAGCUAGCCGUCGAAGGUGGGACAAAUGAUUGGGGUGAAGUCGUAACAAGGUAGCCGUAUCGGAAGGUGCGGCUGGAUCACCUCCUUU